ensembl:snRNA U6 U6 spliceosomal RNA
ACGCUCAUUUCCGUAGCACGUAUACCAAAAUUGGAACGACACAGAGAAGAUUAGCAUGCCUCUGUGCAAGAGUGACACACAAAUUCAGGAAGCAUUCCAUAUAUUU